rnacentral:ncRNA from 1 species
AUUUGGGCUGAGAAGGGAAGCAGUAAGCCUUCCGACUGUUUAUAGAGAGCCAUCGGGUGGUGGAAGAUGGCAACAGAGGCGGCUGAACUCGUCCCGGAGCUAUUAAGGCGAAAGAUGAGUAGCCUUAAUCGGUGAAACCCGUUAUCGUUGUUUGAGGGGACAGUCUUGAUGACUGUCAAAUAGAGUGGUACCGCGAGCCUUUCGUCUCUAUA